UAAUAUAUAGAGAGAGAGAGAGCACGAGAGAGAGAGAUAUAAAUACAGAAAUGUAGACACCACUGAACAAGGAAUGUACUGAGAAGACUUCCUUAGGGAUAAAGCUAAGGGAUUAUUAACUUGCACUAAAACAACAACAAAAAAUAUGGUUUAAUAAAAUACUUGAUUCCAUGAGUCAGUUUAUUUUAUUUUUUCCUUUGUUUUUGAUUUCUGUAAAAUAAGAGGCAACUUUUUUUGUAUUUAUUAUGAAUCGAAGCUAUUUUUUAAAAGAAUGUUGACAAAAAAACAAAAAAAAACAAACAAACCCAGAAGAACGUCAAGCUGCUUCAGAAGGCUGCGGGUUGAACAGAAAAUGUUACUUUCUAAAAAAUUAAAAUAAAAAAAAAAGAAAAACGUGUAAAUAUCCGUCUAAUUUGAAAAGAAGAAGAAAAAAAAAGGACUAAUUAGAAAUAUUUGACCAAAUGCUACCUUAACUUCUUUAGAGCUAUUUGUUUGGGUGACGUGGUUUUUUUUUUUGUUUUGUUUUUUUGUUUUGUUUUGUUUUUUUUUUUUGCUUCUCAAAAAAAAUUCUCCAAAAAAAAUUAAAGAAAAGAGUAAAAUUAAAAAAAUAAUAAUAAUAAUAAUAAAAAAAGAAGAGUAUUUAAGGAUUUAUGGAUGCCAGGAUAUGAGUUUGAUUUUGAGAGUCUAUGUGUUGUAUAAAAUUGUACAGAAUCUGUAAAGAGGAAAAAAAAAAAAAAAAAGAAGAAAAAAAAGACAGAAAUGAAUUCAGAGUAUUUUUGUUGUAUUUAGAAUGUAGAGUGAAUAUUGUCUAAAAUUAUGACCACUUGAAGAAUAAUUCUGUACUUUCAUUUUCUUUUUACACGUUUUGAUUUCUUUUCUUUCUUUCUUUUUUUUUUUGCAAUCGACUUCUUGUGAUCCGUGUUAAUCAGCGAAACGAAGUGCGCUGUGAAUUUUCUUUCGCGUCCAUGCAGACAGAUUUGAGGAGCCCGAGCAAGCACGAGGGACUGUUUUUGUUUUCUUUCCUUCUUCUUCUUCUUCUUCUUCUUCCUUUCCUUUAGUGACUGCGUGUAGUGUCCAUGAACUUUGGCGAGAAAUCGAAAUGCCUUUCACACGUUUGCUUUGACAUUAAGAAAUGUAAAAAAAAAUUAUGCUCUUUUUUUUGGUUGUUUACAUUAUUUUAAGAAAGAUGCUGUUUAGUGUUUGACUAGUUUGGAAAUCAUGGUAUGAUGUUUCUUUUUCUUUUUUUUCUUUCUUCCGAGCUUAAUAAAGAAUUCAGAACCUGGUCCGAGCACUUUGCUUACGGGUUUGAAAUGAAGUUUUUGAUGUGUGCACAAGUGAAAGUAAAAUUUGUUGGACUACAUUUUGCUGGUAUAUUCAAAAGUCCUGAGCUUGUAAUAUAAAUGGCAUGAUGUAUUUUUUAAAAAAAAAAAAGAAAAAAAAAAAAACUUUCGAAUGAAUCAAAUUGUACAUAAUUUCUCAAUGACUGGUUGUAAUGAAAUUUGUUUCUUGGAUAUUUUUUCCCCGCUCUUGUACAAUAUUCAGACGUUAUUAACAGUAUUUGUCAUUUCUCGGUCCUGUACAGUAGUAUACAAUGUCAAAAAUGAAGACUUUUUUGAAAGUAUAAAAAAAGUGUAAUGGGUUUUUUUUUUUUUUUUUUUUUUUGGAGUUUGUGGAAUCAGAUUUAGUGAAUAUUUACAAGAAUAAAUAUUUUACAUCUUUACCCCGGUCUCCUCCGUCGUCGUUCGUCCUGAAGAUGAUCACAGAUCGCAAUCCGGUUUGUUCAAUUUUUGUAGUGUCUUCUUGUU
ensembl:lncRNA